UACGUAGGGGGCAAGCGUUGUCCGGAAUCAUUGGGCGUAAAGAGCGUGUAGGCGGCCAGAAAAGUCCGCUGUGAAAACUCGAGGCUCAACUUCGAGCUGUCGGUGGAAACUUUCUGGCUAGAGUCCGGAAGAGGAGAAUGGAAUUCCUGGUGUAGCGGUGAAAUGCGCAGAUAUCAGGAAGAACACCCGUGGCGAAGGCGGCUCUCUGGUACGUGACUGACGCUGAGACGCGAAAGCGUGGGGAGCGAACAGG
rnacentral:rRNA from 1 species